GCUACGAAGAGAUGCAAGUGUACUCAUGUGUGUCUCGUUAGGCGCUGACGAUAGUCGAAUCUCGACGUUUGGCAUCUCUAGAGCAUUGCUGAGCGCAUAUGCCGCGGCAUUUGGCCACCGUAUUCGAGUCUCUCGCAGAGGCCCUGUUUGCCCUUUGUUUUCCCGUUAGGGCCCGGAAGUGUGUCCGUCAGCACCGGCCAAGGUCAUGUUCGAGUUUUGGAGGGGCAGUCUGGUGCCAGCUAGCCGCGGUAAUUCCAGCUCCAAUAGCGUAUAUUAAAGUUGUUGCAGUUAAAAAGCUCGUAGUUGAAUUUCGGGGUCAGUAGGUUGGUCAUGCCACAGGUAUGAACUGGUCUCACUGAUUCCUCCUUCCUGAUGAACCGUAAUGCCAUUAAUUUGGUGUUGCGGGGAGACUUGGACUGUUACUUUGAAAAAAUUAGAGUGUUUAAAGCAAGCGCUAACGCUUGAAUACACAACCAUCGAACAAUCGAAAUAGGACGUUCAAGGUCUUAUUUUGUUGGUUUACUAAGAUCUCCGACGUAAUGAUUAAUAGGGAUAGUUGGGGGCAUUAGUAUUCAAUUGUCAGAGGUGAAAUUCUUGGAUUUAUUGAAGACUAACUACUGCGAAAGCAUUUCCCAAGGAUGUUUUCAUUAAUCAAGAACGAAAGUUAGGGGAUCGAAGACGAUCAGACGCUACUCGGUGUCGGAGUCCGAACCAUAAACUAUGCCGACUAGGGAUCGGACGAUGUUAAUUUUUUAACUCCGACUCAAUAGGCGCCAACCGGGGAAAAAGUAA
rnacentral:rRNA from 1 species